AAAAAAUGAAUGAAAAAAAAAAUAGAAGGAUGUAUACAUGUCAAUACAUACUCCAUGUGAAAAAAAAAGAAAAAAAAAAGAGAAAGAAGAAGAAAAAUAUGAAUGAAAACAGUUACUAUAGAGUUGUUGAAGUGAAUGAAAUAUUUUGUAAAUUCAACUCCCACAGUUUCUUUCAAAUCUCUUUUGUCUAUUUGAAUUUUAGCCUAGUACCCCUUAGGAUUUAUCUCACCAUUAUCUUGGCCACGUUACAACCAAAUCAAACUCCUUUUCAUCAUUGUGUGCAUGUAUUUCAAUUGUGGAUGU
rnacentral:lncRNA from 1 species